rnacentral:rRNA from 1 species
UAGCUAGUUGGUGAGGUAAAGGCUUACCAAGGCGACGAUCUGUAGCGGGUCUGAGAGGAUGAUCCGCCACACUGGAACUGAGACACGGUCAGACUCCUACGGGAGGCAGCAGUGGGGAAUUUUGGACAAUGGGGGCAACCCUGAUCCAGCCAUGCCGCGUGAGUGAAGAAGGCCUUCGGGUUGUAAAGCUCUUUCGGCCGGGAAGAAAUCGCAUGGGCCAAUACCCUGUGUGGAUGACGGUACCGGAAUAAGAAGCACCGGCUAACUACGUGCCAGCAGCCGCGGUAAUACGUAGGGUGCGAGCGUUAAUCGGAAUUACUGGGCGUAAAGCGUGCGCAGGCGGUUUUGUAAGACAGGCGUGAAAUCCCCGGGCUUAACCUGGGAACUGCGUUUGUGACUGCAAGGCUAGAGUACGGCAGAGGGGGGUGGAAUUCCACGUGUAGCAGUGAAAUGCGUAGAGAUGUGGAGGAACACCAAUGGCGAAGGCAGCCCCCUGGGUCGAUACUGACGCUCAUGCACGAAAGCGUGGGUAGCAAACAGGAUUAGAUACCCUGGUAGUCCACGCCCUAAACUAUGUCAACUAGGUGUUGGGUGGGUAAAACCAUUUAGUACCGUAGCUAACGCGUGAAGUUGACCGCCUGGGGAGUACGGCCGCAAGGUUAAAACUCAAAGGAAUUGACGGGGACCCGCACAAGCGGUGGAUGAUGUGGAUUAAUUCGAUGCAACGCGAAAAACCUUACCUACCCUUGACAUGCCAGGAACUUGCCAGAGAUGGCUUGGUGCCCGAAAGGGAGCCUGGACACAGGUGCUGCAUGGCUGUCGUCAGCUCGUGUCGUGAGAUGUUGGGUUAAGUCCCGCAACGAGCGCAACCCUUGUCGUUAAUUGCCAUCAUUUAGUUGGGCACUUUAACGAGACUGCCGGUGACAAACCGGAGGAAGGUGGGGAUGACGUCAAGUCCUCAUGGCCCUUAUGGGUAGGGCUUCACACGUCAUACAAUGGUCGGUACAAAGGGUUGCCAAGCCGCGAGGCGGAGCCAAUCCCAGAAAGCCGAUCGUAGUCCGGAUUGCAGGCUGCAACUCGCCUGCAUGAAGUCGGAAUCGCUAGUAAUCGUGGAUCAGCAUGUCACGGUGAAUACGUUCCCGGGUCUCGUACACACCGCCCGUCACACCAUGGGAGCGGGUUCCGCCAGAAGUAGGUAGCCUAACCGCAAGGGGGGCGCUUACCACGGCGGGGUUCGUGACUGGGGUGAAGUCGUAACAAGGUAGCCGUAGGGGAACCUGCGGCUG